rnacentral:lncRNA from 1 species
UGGACAGUAGGUGGAAUGACCAUGGUGCCUGAAUUUUCUAUUACUCAGUACCUUAUCAAUUAAUAUUUCCUACUCUACCUUCCAGAUAACUCAGCCUACUUAAAGCUCACCAGAAAGUCAGCCAACAAAUCUCCCAACUCACUCACCUACCAUCAAUCAACCCAUAAACUCUCCAGCAUGUAUUGAAGGCCUACCUUGUUGUGCUUGACACAGUGUUUGGUGCCAUGUAGAAUGACAAAGCAGGACCAGACAGCAUCCCUGCCACCCUGGUGCUUGUAAUCUAGUUGGAGAGAUACGAUAAAAAUAAAUGACACAAUUAAAGAAUCUGACAGAAUGUAAUAAAGUGCUAAAUUGUGUGGUACAGACAAUUAGAGAACAAGACAGUGUAUAAUAAAGUGCUAAUUGUGUGGUACAGACAAUAAGUAUAAUAGGAGUUCAGUGAAGGGAUAGAUGAGUGUGGGCUGCAGUCUUCAGGGAAGGCUUCUCAUCAUGUCAGUGCUGCCGUGUUUAUCCAGUGCAUGACGGGAAAUGGAAUAUGAAAUAGAAGAUGGAUUAUGAGCAGAAUAAUGGUGCUGAACUGUGGUAUCUCUUCUCAGGCUGGAUGAACACAGAAAGAGAGUCCUUUGAAAGAAUAUACAGUUUUAGCUGGCAAGCUGCUGCCCAGCCCAAGGCAACUUUUUCCAGAUUCCUUGCAUGUGGGUGUGACCAGUUCUCUAGUUAUUCCCAAUGGGAGGUGAGUAGAAGUGAUAGAUGUCAGUUUUGGACCAAGGCUUUUGAGAAGCAGGCAUGCUUCUUUUGUACUCUUUCCCCUUCUGUUGGCUUACAUGCAGAAAAUGAACAGGCCCUGGGAAUGUCGGAGGCCUGAGAUAGAAGGAGACUUCAUCCCUGAAACAUUGCUGGGAGGGGGCUGCCAACUUACCAGGAACGUUCACUUAAUGCAAUUUUAUGAGCAAGAGAUAAACUUCUGGGUAUUUUAGUCAUUAUACACAUUUGGGUCUCUUCGUUACAAUAGC